CUCCCUGCCUAGUGGGGAAGAAACAAUGAUUACAAAGGUGGCUUUCCCGGAGAGGCUCAUCCAUUGCAUCCCAGAUGUGCUGACCCCUGAGAUUUCCCCAAACGCAGGAAAUUGUAUUGCAUAAUCUGUGGUCAGUGGUGCUUUCACCUA
rnacentral:snRNA from 1 species